rnacentral:rRNA from 1 species
GAUGAACGCUGGCGGCAGGCCUAACACAUGCAAGUCGAGCGGGGUUUUCGGACCUAGCGGCGGACGGGUGAGUAAUGCGUAGGAAGCUACCCGAUAGAGGGGGAUACCAGUUGGAAACGACUGUUAAUACCGCAUAAUGUCUACGGACCAAAGUGUGGGACCUUCGGGCCACAUGCUAUCGGAUGCGCCUACGUGGGAUUAGCUAGUUGGUGAGGUAAUGGCUCACCAAGGCGACGAUCCCUAGCUGGGUUGAGAGGAUGAUCAGCCACACUGGAACUGAGACACGGUGCAGACUCCUACGGGAGGCAGCAGUGGGGAAUAUUGGAAAAUGGGCGCAAGCCUGAUCCAGCCAUGCCGCGUGUGUGAAGAAGGCCUUCGGGUUGUAAAGCACUUUCAGUAGGGAGGAAGCGUUGUGUAUUAAUAGUACACAGCGUUGACGUUACCUACAGAAGAAGCACCGGCUAACUCUGUGCCAGCCGCCGCUGUAAGAC